GUGUUUAUAGCGUUCAGACUCAAACACUUUAUAACACACUGCUGUUUACCACGGUACAAAACCAGCAAACACAAUGAAUCUCUUCAGCAGCUUCAUCUGGAUUCUGACAGCUUUUCUUCCAGCAUCCAGAGGAAUCACUGUGACUCAGCCUGAAGUUCGGACUGUUUCUGGAGGACAAGACGUCACUAUAGAGUGUAAAACUGAUCCUGGAAUAGAUAGCUGGGGUUUAGCUUGGUAUCAGCAGAAACCUGGAGAAACUCCUAAACUCAUCAUUUAUCAAGUUAACGAUCGCUAUGGUAACAGUUUCAGUCGAUUCAGUGGGAAUGGAAGAUCUGGUGGAACAGAUUUCACUCUGAGCAUCAGUGGAGUCCAGACUGAAGAUGCUGGACAUUAUUACUGUAUGAGUCGACACUCUAUCAGUAGUAACUAUGUGUUCACACAGUGAUUGUGAGUCGUACAAAAACCUGUGUCAGUCAGAGUCACAGUGACUGAACUGAUGCUGCAGCUGAUCAAACACUAUCACUCACUACUGACACACAGAGACCAAACACAGAACUACACAUGAGCUCACAACUGA